rnacentral:rRNA from 1 species
GACGAACGCUGGCGGCGUGCUUAACACAUGCAAGUCGAACGGAAAGGCCCUGCUUGCGGGGUACUCGAGUGGGGAACGGGUGAGUAAGACGCGGGUGGUUUGCCCGGCAGUUAGGGGUAAGCAUGGGUAACUGGGUCUAGUAACGGCUAGAUGAGAGUAUAAGUGUGAUGGUUGGAAAGUAUUUUGUGUAUAUGAUGAGCUAGCGGGCGAUCGGCCUGUUGGUUGGGUAAUGGCCUACGAAAGGGGCGACCGGUAGCCGGCAUGGGAGGGUGGACGGCGACAUUGGGACUGAGAUACGGCCCAGAAUCCUACGGGAGGCAGCAGUGGGGAAUAUUGCACAAUGGGCGCAAGCCUGAUGCAGCGACGCCGCGGGGGGGAUGACGGCCUUCGGGUUGUAAACUCCUUUCGCUAGGGACGAAGCUUUUUGUGACGGUACCUAGAUAAGAAGCACCGGCUAACUACGUG